rnacentral:rRNA from 1 species
AUGGCGGCACCUCUUCUUUGCUUCGCCGUCGUGGCGGCGGCGGCUUUCGCCGGCGCGUCGGGGCAGGAGCUCACGUCGGAUUACUACGACGAGGCGUGCCCGCAGGCGCUGUCGGCAAUCAAGCUCGUCGUCGGCGCGGCCAUCGUCAAGGAGCCCCGGAUGGGCGCCUCGCUCGUCCGGCUGCACUUCCACGACUGCUUCGUCAACGGCUGCGACGGCUCCAUUCUGCUGGACGACACCGAGGACAUGGUCGGGGAGAAGACGUCCCAGGCCAACAACAUGUCGGUGAGAGGGUUCGGCGUGAUCGACGCCAUCAAGACCGCCGUCAACACGGCGUGCCUGGGUAAUGUCGUCUCCUGCGCCGACAUCCUCGCCGUCGCCGCUCGCGACUCCAUUGUUGCACUCGGGGGAAGCUCGUACGACGUGCUCCUGGGCCGGCGGGACGCGACGACGGCGAGCAUGGACGACGCGGACAACAGCAUCCCGAACCCGUUCAUGGACCAGCCGGAGCUGCUCGCCAACUUCCAAUCCCAGGGCCUGUCGCUCCGGGACCUGGUGGUGCUCUCGGGCGCCCACACGCUGGGCUACUCCCGCUGCGUCUUCUACCGCGACCGCCUGUACAACGAGACCGGCAGCCUCGACCCGACCUACGCGGCGGCGCUGGACGAGCGGUGCCCGCCCGCCGGCGACGACGAGGCGCUGGCGUCGCUGGACGACACGCCGACGACCGUGGACACGGACUACUACCAGGGCAUCACGCAGGGCCGCGCGCUGCUGCACACGGACCAGCAGCUGUACCUGGGCGACGGGGGCGACAGCGACGCGCUGGUGCAGUACUACGCCGAGAGCCCUGACAAGUUCUGGGAGGACUUCGGCGCGGCGAUGCUCAAGCUGGGCGGCCUCAGCCCGCUCACCGGCGAGGACGGCGAGGUCAGGGAGGACUGCCGGGUCGUGAACCGGGGGUGA